rnacentral:rRNA from 1 species
GAGUUUGAUCGUGGCUCAGAUUGAACGCUGGCGGAAUGCUUUACACAUGCAAGUCGAGCGGCAGCGCGGGGCAACCUGGCGGCGAGCGGCGAACGGGUGAGUAAUGCAUCGGAACAUGUCCAUGUCGUGGGGGAUAGCCCGGCGAAAGCCGGAUUAAUACCGCAUACGCCCGAGAGGGGAAAGUGGGGGACCGCAAGGCCUCACGCGAUUGGGUUGGCCGAUGUCCGAUUAGCUAGUUGGCGGGGUAAAGGCCCACCAAGGCGAUGAUCGGUAGCUGGUCUGAGAGGAUGAUCAGCCACACUGGGACUGAGACACGGCCCAGACUCCUACGGGAGGCAGCAGUGGGGAA